rnacentral:lncRNA from 1 species
AUUUUAGAUGGAAUUAUUUCACUUAUUUUUCUUUUAUUGUAUGUGUGAAAUCUUGUAUGGAAACUCGUAAUCUAUCACUCUAUAUGGAAACUAGUAAUCUAUCACUCUAUUGUAAUACCCAAUUUGCCCGAACCCAUUUAGCAAUAAACAAAAACAAUAAAAAAGUCUCAGUCCAUUUACAAAGUCCAGCAGGCCUGUAUGGCCCAAAACCAAUAAACAGCCCAAACCUAACCUAAACCCUAGCCAAACAAAACAGCC